rnacentral:rRNA from 1 species
GACGAACGCUGGCGGCGUGCUUAACACAUGCAAGUCGAACGGAAAGGCCUUUUCGGAGGUACUCGAGUGGCGAACGGGUGAGUAACACGUGGGUGAUCUGCCCUGCACUCUGGGAUAAGCCUGGGAAACUGGGUCUAAUACCGGAUAGGACUGCACUUUAGUGUGUGCGGUGGAAAGUUUUUUCGGUGUAGGAUGAGCCCGCGGCCUAUCAGCUUGUUGGUGGGGUAAUGGCCUACCAAGGCGGCGACGGGUAGCCGGACUGAGAGGUUGGUCGGCCACAUUGGGACUGAGAUACGGCCCAGACUCCUACGGGAGGCAGCAGUGGGGAAUAUUGCACAAUGGGCGCAAGCCUGAUGCAGCGACGCCGCGUGGGGGAUGACGGCCUUCGGGUUGUAAACUCCUUUCGCCAGGGACGAAGCGUUUUGUGACGGUACCUGGAGAAGAAGCACCGGCUAACUACGUGCCAGCAGCCGCGGUAAUACGUAGGGUGCAAGCGUUGUCCGGAAUUACUGGGCGUAAAGAGCUCGUAGGUGGUUUGUCACGUCGUCUGUGAAAUUCCACAGCUUAACUGUGGGCGUGCAGGCGAUACGGGCUGACUUGAGUACUGUAGGGGUAACUGGAAUUCCUGGUGUAGCGGUGAAAUGCGCAGAUAUCAGGAGGAACACCGAUGGCGAAGGCAGGUUACUGGGCAGUUACUGACGCUGAGGAGCGAAAGCAUGGGUAGCAAACAGG